UUUUUUUGGUUGGUGGUGUUUGUUUUGGUUGCAAGCAAAUACAGAUGUUCAAACAAGUCAAGUAUGUGAAAUCUCAUAGACUAAUGACUAUCAAGCGUUUGAUGAAAUGUCUAUAUGAAACUUGGGAUAAUUAGCAGAGAAAACGUGGAGAGAAAGAUUACACAGGUAAAUUCUAUUUUGCUCUAUAACCUUUUUUUUCUUCUACGGCCAAUUCUUUUUGUGUUUUCUAGGGCACUUUAUCUUUCCUUUUCAACCUUUUUUGGUUCUGAUCUUGAUCUCAUGUUGCUCAUUCUAUGUUGAUGUUCGCUAUAUUUUCGCUGGUGAUAGAUGUCAUAUGGAAGUUUACUUUUGAUAAUUCAGUUUGAUUUUUGAAAAAUUUUGUUCAUUCUUUCAACCUUUAUAUGCCUUUCAAGUUCAAUUUGGUCCAUGUAUACUUUCAACUCUUCAUCUUUUCGUUACUUUUCCAGAAUCUUUUUUGUGGCUGAGCUAAGAUUUCUUAAAAAUAACUUUGAUGUCUAUGCCUUUUGAGGAACAUGAUUACAUAGGCUUAUCAGAGGUUCCUGCAAUGGAAAGUUCUGAAAAGAAUAAUGCUCUGCCUUUGGGAGAUAAAUAAGAAAAUAAAAUGAUGCAUUGUCCUGCGUGCUAUGGGAAGGGUCUAAUUGCUCAGAGAUGGGUUUGAUACAAUGUAAAGUUGUAUUCCAUACUCUGACUUUGUUGUAUCUGUAGGGAGAGUUCAUACCAUAAACUGAAAGUUACACACUUCACAGUUUAGCUAUGUUAGGCCCAUCUUGAUCGUUAGCAGCUUUCUCUCUGCAAUUAUUGUUAUCGGAUAUAAGUUUUUCUGUUUAGCUGAUAGCUUGUCGAAAAAUCUCCAUGCAGAUGCUUAAAAUGUAAUGGGAAGUGUAUGGUGCCUUGAGUAACUUGUGGUUCUUGUGGGCCUAUCAAAUGUGUGACGUGCAUGGGUGGUGGUUCUCUUUUGACUCGCAAAGUGGCUGUUAUGAGAUGGUAUGGCCUAUGUUGUUUUGCACAAUAUAUUUGGCAUGCCAUAGCUCUUACAGACUUUAGGACAUAACUAAAAGAACAUUUUGGAUUUAGUUUAAAAGAACAUAACUAAAUGAACUUGUUAUCAUGACAAGUAAAUUGAUUUUGAAUCUAGCCUGAAGCAUUUUGGGAGAAAAAUUGUUAAAAUGCUAAAUGAACAUAACUAAGUAAAAGUUGGGGUUCAGUUUGUCAUUAAAAGUUGGUCCCUAUGCACAUUCUUCACAGGUAAGGGCCAUUAGUCCAUGAUCCAUUGGACAGUCAGUUUAGGGCCAGAUAUUGAAGCAGUGCCAUCUGAUUUCUUUUGAAUAAUUUUAUAACUACUUUUUCAGUUUGUUGGUUCAUUCAAGAAUGGCAAGUAUGUUGGUUCAUUCAAGAUCAUUCAAGAAUGGCAAGUCAAGUAUUCACACAAUCUUCAUUGGACAAACUUAAAUGUGCUAGGCUUGAAACCCUCCUUUGAAGUAAUUGUCAUGGAUGGCCAAGUAGACCCUGUGGACAUGCGUACUAGGUCACUUAAGCCUACAACAACUUUGGCUUGUGAUUUAUGCGUUUGGAUGCUAUGUUGAGAUCCCUACCAAAGCUAAAAGAGCUUUAGUGAACCCGACCAGAAAAUGUGAAAUCACUCUGUCCACAAGAUUUAUUGUUUCAGUUUUGUUGUUUCUUGCUUGGCAUUCCUUCAAGUUAUGCUGUUUGCCUAUUUCAAUCUGCCUCAUAGUUGUGCCAUGAUGGAGAAAUAAAGGAAAACAAAAUUGUUUUAAGUACCGAUUAUGCAUUUUGUCUGUGUUUUUGGCUGUCCAGGAAGACACUUUCGACUCGAAAAGUGAGUGCAACAAGUAGAGCUGCUUGUGACGCCCGAAGGAAAAGAAAAGGAAAUUUUCUUUAUUUAUUUAUUUUUCCGCGUGCAUUUUUCUUACUUUAUUUUAUUAUCAAAAUUUUCCAGAGACUUUAUAAGUGAAUAUAGUUUUUCCAACCAUUUUUCUAGUAUAAGUUAGUUCGGGUUAAUUUGGAAGUCUAUUAAGGACGUGGGACCCGCUCGUGCGGUAAAUGCGUUAUAUUUUCGAUAACUUGUUGAUGUUUUGUAUUAAGAGAUAUUAUUUUACAAGGUGUUAGGAGAUAAUUACAGGUUAGUUAGACUAAUUAGUAUGGAGAGACAAGAAAAUAAGCUUAAACAUUUAAGGUGCCACGUGUCGCGUUUCAAUUCAGGGGUGGACUUUUGACCAAAAUAUUUUACCUUCUUAAAGCUAAUUUUGGCCAAUGUAUUUCUUCAUUUUAAGCUCUCUUGGCCGAACUCCUUAGGGAGAGAAAAGAGAGAAACCUUCAACUUUUAUUCUUCAUUUCUUGCUUUGAUCUUGCAAACCAACCAAUUAAAUCUUGAAUUUGUCCACACAAAAGACUUGCUAAGGGAGUUUGAAGAUCUUGGUGGAGUUGUUUUGCAAGAAAAACCACUAAGCUACUACCUUUAUUGAGAAAUUAAGGUAUUUUGCUUGGAACUCACUUUUUGUCUCUAAUAAUGGCCAAUUGGUGCCUUAUGGAAGCUAGUUAGGUGAUUUUAUGAAAGAUUUUAUGGAUUGGAGUGGAGUUAUCUAAAUUUCUGAUUUUUUGGGGUUUUUUCUGUUUUCAUAUGAUGCUUAUGGUUGGCCUUGGAUUGAUGGCUCUAAAGUGUCUUAAAUGGAUCCCUUGUGCAUCAAUUGCGGUUAUUUGCGGAAAAUUUCAGCUUGUGCGGAAAAUUUCAGGUUAAGGUUUCAAAUCUGCCCUGUUCUGACCGGAUUUAUUUGAGCAUGUUAGAUGCCGAAUCAGGUUUAGGUUAAAACAUGAAAAUUGUAGAAAAUGGUGUUACUAGCUGCCUGCAAAAUUUCAGCUCGAUCCGAGCACUAUAGCAUGUGAAUGACCGAAAUACCCUUGACUGCCCAUGAGCCCUAUUUGGCGCCCAGAUUUCUGUUUUCAUGGAGUUUUUCAUUUUUGACCCUAAAAAUGCAUGAUUUGGCUUUGAAGUCUUCAUAAGAAAUGUAGGUUUAUGUCUUGGCUUCGAAACGCCAUAAGAUUCGUUUCAACCCGAUAAGUGUAGCUUCAGUUAUGGAUAUUGUGCCGAAAGGUGUAUUUGAUAGUCUAUGAUGUGUAUGUGGUUGAUUUGAGAUGAAAUGGUGUUGCUUGUAGGAUGGAAAAGUAAGGAAAUUAAGGGGAUAUGCUGUCCGAUCUUUGAAAACAUUUGAUUGCUUUGAGUUUGAGUUGAAGGGCUUGGAUUUGGGUAAGGCAAUGAUAUAUGAUGGAUGAUUCUUGAGCCGUGGAGGUGAGUAACCCUAAAUUAUUUCGAAAGCUACUUAUGAACUGUUUCCUGCAUUCUUUAUUCAAUUGCAUAUCAUGCGUGCUUGCAUGGGAGUUCAUGGUAUGAUUUGGCUUCAAUGAGUUCUUGGGGAGUCUUGUGCUGAACACCAACGUCUCCACCACUUGUUUAUGUUCAUUUGGAGCUCAAAAAGGGGCUCCCUCUUACUGUUCAACGUGAAAUGAUCUAUUGGAGCGUUGGAUGUUUAAGUACAAUGAUUUCACUGGCUCACCAGAGCAAAAAUACGUACAUUUGAUCUCGGAAUCAUGACAUCAUCGAAAUGCAUUAUUGUGAAAUAUAUUUGAUUACUGAUUUUACUGGUUACUCGCUGAGCGUUAGCUCACCCAAAAACUAUUUUAUUCCCCUCCACAGGGCUCGAGGUGAAGGAAACAUUUGUAUUAAAGUUCUCCGUGUGAAUGGUUGGAGGAUCUACUGUACCAUUGGAGCUCUAGUUUUAAUUUGCGUAGUAUUUGAGAUUGUACUUGUACUUGUACUUAUGUGAGAACUGAGGACCUUUGUCUUAUGCUGGAAAUUAGUAUUGCUUAUAUCUCUUGAGGUUUUAGUUUGUAGUAUAUGUAAAUUGUGGAACUUUUGGUGUAUAUUUGUGUUAAGUGAUUAAUUAUGCAUAUAAUUGGUGAAUAUUUUCCCCUUUAUUUUGCUAAAAUAUGGUGAUAAUUGAUGAAUUUUACUCAUAUUUGAUUUUUGGUGUUGUUUUUAGGAAUUGUUGGUGAGAAUGGAGUAAAAGGCGCAUUAAAGACUAAAUUUUCAGAAGACAACAAUUUAGAAGACGUGACCACGCUUUAAUCAGUUGAGAAGUCCCAAUGUCGCAAGAAUUGAAGCAAGGCCGAGGUUGACUCUUUAUUUUUAUUGACCAAUUGAAACGAAAUCUUUGUUUCUUGAUUGAGAUAAACUCUGUUAGUUAGCUAUUUUAGGGAUGAUACAUUUGGGUUCCUUUUUAUUAUUACUAUACUUAUUAGAAGUACAAUGGCAAGAGGACUCUCGGCGGGUGAAAGGAAACGUAGGAGUAUAAGAAGGAAAAAAGAGCCUUCGGCUAGGGGGCUCUCUCGAAUCCUUUUUCUUCUUUUUCCUCUUGAUAGACUAUAAACGCUAGUAUUUUGUCGCUGCGAAUUCACCAUGAGGAGCGGCUAAUUUCUUUUCUAGUUGAAGGAUAAUUGAAGCUUUGGUUCGACAAUUCUGUGAGAUCUAAUUUGAUUUAUUUGCUUCAUCUAUUUCUGAG
rnacentral:lncRNA from 1 species